UACGGAGGGUGCAAGCGUUAUCCGGAUUCACUGGGUUUAAAGGGUGCGUAGGUGGGCAGGUAAGUCAGUGGUGAAAUCCCCGAGCUUAACUUGGGAACUGCCAUUGAUACUAUUUGUCUUGAAUACUGUGGAGGUUAGCGGAAUAUGUCAUGUAGCGGUGAAAUGCUUAGAUAUGACAUAGAACAUCGAUUGCGAAGGCAGCUGGCUACACAAAUAUUGACACUGAGGCACGAAAGCGUGGGGAUCAAACAGG
rnacentral:rRNA from 1 species